UUUGUACUUAGGGUAAUCUUGGAAAACAUUGCUCUUGUCGCACCAAAGUUUACGCGUUAAACCAACCACUACUCAUUUGCAUGUUACUAUAAAAAAUAAUUUGCACGAUCAUAGCAGUUAACCUCUCUUUCUCUCGCCAAACACAGUGUAUCCUUGUGGCUAAAAGGGUUGUGCCCUGUUUGCACCUGAAGAAAGAAAGAUAAAGAAGAAGAUAUAUAUAUUAUGGGUGAUUGCAAGCCUUUAGGUUUCUUGAUUGGGUUACCCUUUGCUCUUGUUGCUUUGGUUUUGUCUCUUGUCGGUGCUGUUAUUUGGGUUAUUGGGACUGUGCUGAGCUGCCUCUGCCCUUGUUGCAUUUGUUUUUCUGGACUGGCAAAUUUUGCAGUGAGCCUCGUGAAGCUUCCCGUGAAGGUCAUGAGAUGGUUUAUUGAUCUGAUUCCAUGUUGAUUUCCUUCAGCCAUAGCUGGGAUAUCCCAUUCUUUUUUCAGAUUUGUUUUGAAGAACAGUGCAGGAGUUUUAAUAAUUGACAGUAGCUGUAAUUAGUGACUUUGCAACAAUUCAUUAUUUUUAUUUGUAUGUUUAAUCAGUGCAGUUUAAUGGGGUUGUGGGAAACGGUUGUUGUAUACUCAGGGGAGCAUGUCGUCCUCUAAUCAUAGAUUUCCAUUAAUUCUCUUCACCA